UACGUAGGCAGCGAGCGUUGUUCGGAAUUACUGGGCGUAAAGAGUGUGUAGGCGGUGCUCUAAGUUCGGUGUGAAAUCUCCUGGCUCAACUGGGAGGGUGCGCCGGAAACUGGAGUGCUUGAGCGUGGGAGAGGAAAGCGGAAUUCCUGGUGUAGCGGUGAAAUGCGUAGAUAUCAGGAGGAACACCUGUGGCGAAAGCGGCUCACUGGACCAUAACUGACGCUGAUGCACGAAAAGCUAGGGGGAGCAAACAGG
rnacentral:rRNA from 1 species